UUUUAUUUUGAAAAUGUGUAGUCGAAAAUGAGUUUGAGAACAAAAGAGUUUUGUUAUACUGAUUGUCAAACAGGGCCAUAAUUUUCUGAUCAAAUAAUCUAUUUGGCUAUCGUGUACACACCAGAUAUGCAACCAAGGUCGCCAAAAUGCGCUGGCUGAGAUCUUGGAGAUACUAACAAUGGUAUGUGAGACUCACACAUUACCGCUGGCUCAGACAUGGAUUCCUUGCAGACAUCGGAAUGUCCUAGCAGAUGGCGGAGGUUUUAAGAAAACUUGCAGUAGCUUUGAUGGAAGUUGCAUGGGACAGGUAUGCAUGUCAACAACUGAUGUAUCAUAUUAUGUGGUAGAUGCGCAUAUGUGGGGCUUCCGCGAGGCCUGUGCCGAGCAUCACUUACAGAAGGGCCAGGGAGUUGCCGGGAGGGCAUUUGAGUCGCAUAACUUGUGCUUCUGUGACGAUAUCACCCAAUUCUGCAAAACAGAGUAUCCCUUGGUACAUUAUGCUCGCAUGUUUGGGUUGAAAAGUAGCAUCGCAAUUUGUUUACGGAGCCGUCAUACUGGAAAUGACGAUUACGUUUUAGAAUUCUUUCUUCCUCCAAAUAUCCAAGACCAGAGUGACCAAAGGACUUUGUUGGAUGCAGUGUUGAUGACAAUGAAACAGCAUUUUGGGAGCCUGAGGGUUGCUUCAGGGAAUGACCUCGAACAUGAAUGGAGAUCUGUUGAGAUUAUAAAAGCAUCCAUGGAUGAGAAAUUUGAUUCAAGGUUUGAUUUUGCUGCAAAUUCUCCCCUAAAGUCUGCUGCCUUGCCAAAUGAAGAGGCAGUGCAUCUUCAUUCACUGGAAAAGCAGCAAUUGGAAGGAUUUAAUGCUACUAAUAAUGAAGAAAAUGCUGUAUCUUUUGUUGAGAAUAAAGAACAGGUCAAGAAAUCAGAGAGAAAACGAGGAAAGGCAGAGAAGACGAUCAGCCUAGAGGUUCUGCAGCAAUACUUCGCCGGGAGUCUUAAGGAUGCUGCCAAGAGUCUUGGUGGUAUGCUUUAAUCUUAGUGCCCGUUGCUUAUCAUUUUAUUCACUUCAAAUGAUUCUCUUGAAUAAUUAUAAUUAUAAUUUAUUUUUAUUUUAUUAUUAUUAUUAUUAUUUUUUUUUUUGUGACUUAUACAGUUUGUCCUACUACCAUGAAGCGCAUCUGCAGGCAACAUGGGAUCUUAAGAUGGCCCUCUCGUAAGAUUAACAAAGUUAAUCAUUCUCUUUCUAAGCUAAAACGCGUAAUUGAAUCUGUACAAGGUGCUGAAGGAGCAUUCAGUUUGACUUCUUUGGCUACAAAUUCGAUUCCUGUUGCUGUUGGUUCAAUUUCAUGGUCAGCAAGUAUGAACGAGCCGCCUGAUCAACAAAGUUCACCAAGGCCUAGACCAUCUGAAUUUCGAGAGGAUGAGCAUGAACUUCCUACCCUUCAGGCAUCUGGAGGCGAUGAACUGACAGAGAUUUUAGGAACUGAGGAACUUAUCCCGCAGCAAACUGGAACUUUGCUCUGUGAAGGUUCUAUCAGAUCAAAAACAGGGAGUAGGUCGAGAGAAGAAAGCACAGGAACCCCAACUUCUUAUGGUUCAUGCCAAGAUAGUCCUUUUCUUGGAAAUGAAAACUCCCUACAAAAUGAUCCAGCCGUUUCACUUGUCAAUGAAAAUCACAUAAAACUCACGAGUUCACUUGAGUUUACAUGUCAACCAAUGAAGGAGAUUAAUUUAUCCGUUGCAUUGUCGUUACCCAAACCCGAUGAUUUUGUUACAGCACCCCGAGAGCCAUUUGGAGAAAUGCUAAUUGAGGAUGCAGGAAGCUCACGCAAUCUUUGUAAUCUUUGCCCAGAUCGUGAGACUUUGUUUGAUGAACACGUCCCAGAAUACAGUGGGACGAAACAACCAUGUUUUGAUGCAAUUCCCAGUUCCACGGUUGUUCCUAUUGAUCGAAUGCCACAGGUUUCUACCGGGACAGAACUGAAAACCAUCACGAUAAAAGCCACUUACCAAGAAGAUAUUAUUAGGUUUCGACUCUCUUUGGGCUCGGGCAUUGUCACGUUGAAGGAGGAAGUGGCAAAGAGGCUGAAGAUGGAGGUUGGCACGUUUGAUAUCAAGUACUUAGACGACGAUCAUGAGUGGGUUCUAAUUGCUUGUGACGCAGACUUGCAGGAAUGCAUUGAUGUUUCGAGGUCGUCAGGUAGAAAUAUAAUCAGACUGUUGAUUCAUGAUAUAAUGGGCAAUCUUGGGAGCUCCUGCGAGAGUUCGGGUGAAUGAGGAAUAGGGUUGUACAUAGUAAGCUCGUAGGAAAAUUCUUGCAGUCUCUGGUGAGUUCAAGUGUAAUUGUAAAUUUUGAUUAUGACCCUUCUUAAAUUUUAAGAAUUUAGUUGAUUUUUGAGCAUUUAGA
rnacentral:lncRNA from 1 species